rnacentral:rRNA from 1 species
UCCGUAGGUGAACCUGCGGAGGGAUCAUUACCGAGUUUACAACUCCCAAACCCCUGUGAACAUACCUUAAUGUUGCCUCGGCGGAUCAGCCCGCGCCCCGUAAAACGGGACGGCCCGCCAGAGGACCCAAACUCUAAUGUUUCUUAUUGUAACUUCUGAGUAAAACAAACAAAUAAAUCAAAACUUUCAACAACGGAUCUCUUGGUUCUGGCAUCGAUGAAGAACGCAGCAAAAUGCGAUAAGUAAUGUGAAUUGCAGAAUUCAGUGAAUCAUCGAAUCUUUGAACGCACAUUGCGCCCGCUGGUAUUCCGGCGGGCAUGCCUGUUCGAGCGUCAUUUCAACCCUCAAGCCCUCGGGUUUGGUGUUGGGGAUCGGCUCUGCCUUCUGGCGGUGCCGCCCCCGAAAUACAUUGGCGGUCUCGCUGCAGCCUCCAUUGCGUAGUAGCUAACACCUCGUCUCCUUAACGCGGCGCGGCCAUGCCGUAAAACCCCAACUUCUGAAUGUUGACCUCGGAUCAGGUA